ACCCUUGGCCUGGGAACCUCCAUAUGCCUCGGGAGCGGACCUAGCAAAGACAGAAACACAAAAAAAAAAAAAAAAAAAAAAGGCCAUCUCCCAGUGGUCUCUCUGUCCCUGAGGACGUGAGAUAAAGUCCACAGGAUUUGUCACCAUCCUGUUACCUCUGAACAUGUUCCCUGGCAGAAUUCUUGGCUUGUCUAGCUAUGCCUCCCUCAAGAACUUUGCAUCUGUUUAUUCAUUCCUUACCUCAUUCAUUCCUUCUCUCUAAAGUAUAUGUCAAGCACAGUAAUGGGUGUUGGGAAAGAGAAGAAAAACAACCCUUGCUCUCAUGGAGGGUCUAUUCUAUUCAGCCCCCAAAGGUAUGUGAUUUGUCAGGUGUUGGUAACUGCUGUGAUUAAAAUUAAAUCAGAAUUGUCAAAUAGAGAGGAGGGGGCCUAUCUAGAAAGAGCAGUCAGGGAAGGUCUUUCUAAGAUUGUGACAUUUG
rnacentral:lncRNA from 1 species